UACGUAGGGUGCAAGCGUUAAUCGGAAUUACUGGGCGUAAAGCGUGCGCAGGCGGUUGUGCAAGACCGAUGUGAAAUCCCCGGGCUUAACCUGGGAAUGGCAUUGGUGACUGCACGGCUAGAGUGUGUCAGAGGGGGGUAGAAUUCCACGUGUAGCAGUGAAAUGCGUAGAGAUGUGGAGGAAUACCGAUGGCGAAGGCAAUCCCCUGGGCCUGCACUGACGCUCAUGCGCGAAAGCGUGGGGAGCAAACAGG
rnacentral:rRNA from 1 species